UAUUUUAAGGGCCGCGGUAUUUCUAACUGUGCAAAGGUAGCAUAAUCGUUAGUUUCUUAAUUGGAAUCUUGUAUGAAUGGUUUGACAAGAAAAAAUCUGUCUUUAUAAUUAUUUAUUGAAUUUAACUUUUAAGUGAAAAGGCUUAAAUAUAUUAAAAAGACGAUAAGACCCUAUAAAGCUUAAUAUUAAGUUUGUUAUUUAAUAAAAUUUUAAAUGUAUAAAUAUUUGGUAAUUAACUUUUAUUUUAUUGGGGCGAUAAUGGUAUAAAGAUUAUUAACUGUUAAUUUUUUAAAACAAAAAUAAAUGAAUAUAAAUACUUAUUAAUUAAAUGAUCCUUUUUAAAGAUUAAAAGUUUAAGUUACUUUAGGGAUAACAGCGUUAUUUUUUUUGAGAGUUCUUAUCGAGAAAAAAGUUUGCGACCUCGAUGUUGAAUUAAAAUAUCUAUAUAAUUGUAGCAGUUAUAUAAGAAGGUCUGUUCGACCUUUAAAUUUUUA
rnacentral:rRNA from 1 species